GUGGGGCGACGGGCCUGCCAGCAGCCCUGGCAGGACGAGGGGCGAGUCCCGACUGCUCCCCGCCUGGCCCGGGGCCAGGGACGCGGGGCCGGGACUGGCCGAGGGGAAACGGAAACGGAACGGAGCGCGGGAACAGGGCGGCGGGGAGCGCUAACCCAGAUCCCACUGAUCUGCCUACCUCUACUCUGUCUUCACCACCACCCUGGGGACCAAUCAGCUUGGCUGAGCACCUAUAGGAAGAAGUCACCUCCUAAGAGGGACAGAGGAACAGAUCUCUGACCCUGACCCUGCUGCACCAUCCGUGGCUCCUGAAGAGCUGGAGCUAGACAACCAAUCCUAGCAGGAUCUAAGGUCAAAAACUCCAAAUGAGGAGAUCACCCACUCUGCUUUCAGAUCAAGGACUAGAGUUGUGACAAAAUUUCCUGAAGCUCCAGAACUCUGCUUGCUGCAUAUGUGAUAAUGGCCCCAUAAGAUUACAGUGGAGUUGAAAAUUUCCUGUCACCUGCACCAAGAUUCAAGUUACCACAAAACUGGUUUCCUGGAAUUCCUUACCAAGCCCCCACCCUCCGUCUCCUUCCUUCAUCUGUUUGUCCUCUCCCAACCCUGUCACCUUUCUAGGUUCAAGGGAUACUCAGGUCAGGGGUGAGGAAUUAAGAGGAGCAGAAUUCAGAGGUGGGGGCUGGGCAGAUUGUGUGCUCAUGGGCAGCAGGGAGAGGAGAUGGGGCUUGGGGUAGAGAGCAGGAGGGGUUUGGGUACAAGAGGCUGACCCAGCCCAACCACUGUCAUAAAGAAGAAACCAGCGCCCAGAGGUGGAGAGGAGGAGCGGGGCAGGCUCACCGGCUUGAUGUCACGGUGCAGAAAGCCCACGGAGUGAAUGGCUUCAAUGGACUCCAGGAU